CCUACGGGUGGCAGCAGUGGGGAAUAUUGGACAAUGGGGGCAACCCUGAUCCAGCCAUGCCGCGUGUGUGAAGAAGGCCCUCGGGUUGUAAAGCACUUUCAGUGAGGAAGAACGCCUGGUGGUUAAUACCCAUCAGGAAAGACAUCACUCACAGAAGAAGCACCGGCUAACUCCGUGCCAGCAGCCGCGGUAAUACGGAGGGUGCGAGCGUUAAUCGGAAUUACUGGGCGUAAAGCGCGCGUAGGUGGCUUGAUAAGCCGGUUGUGAAAGCCCCGGGCUCAACCUGGGAACGGCAUCCGGAACUGUCAAGCUAGAGUGCAGGAGAGGAAGGUAGAAUUCCCGGUGUAGCGGUGAAAUGCGUAGAGAUCGGGAGGAAUACCAGUGGCGAAGGCGGCCUUCUGGACUGACACUGACACUGAGGUACGAAAGCGUGGGUAGCAAACAGGAUUAGAUACCCUAGUAGUC
rnacentral:rRNA from 1 species